UACGGGGGGAGCAAGCGUUGUUCGGAUUUACUGGGCGUAAAGGGCGCGUAGGCGGCCAGCGCAAGUCAGUUGUGAAAUCUCCGGGCUUAACUCGGAAAGGUCAACUGAUACUGCGCGGCUAGAGUGCGGAAGGGGCAACUGGAAUUCUCGGUGUAGCGGUGAAAUGCGUAGAUAUCGAGAGGAACACCUGCGGCGAAGGCGGGUUGCUGGGCCGACACUGACGCUGAUGCGCGAAAGCUAGGGGAGCGAACGGG
rnacentral:rRNA from 1 species